ensembl:lncRNA
AUGGAAGAACUGGUCAGUAGUCAGUCAGACGUUGUUGGCAGACUAGCAUUCAAAUACAUGGUGAGAUUCUCCCCAUUUCCUGUUUAUCUGAAUGAUCUGUCUGUUAUGAGUGUGUUUAAUGCAGCUGUGGUGUUCUGUCAGGAGAUGUGUAAAGUGGACUCCAGCUCAGACUCAGAAUCCGAGUCUAACCCGAGAGGGUCUGACGUCAGCAGCAAGGUAUUUCUGAUGAAGAUCAACCUCAAACAUUCAGAUGCAUUCAAACAUAAAGUGCAUGAUCUCUCGACUCUUGUCCGGCGUCAGGGCUGUGACAGCAGCGCUCCAGAGGCUCCUCAGACUCUCCAGCGCUUCACUGGACAACACCAACAGAGCCUGGAUCCCUAUGAUGGCAGUUCUGAAGACUCUGGUUCUUCUGCUGAAGGGUCAAAGAAGCAAAGGCUCGGCGGGUUCCGGGCGAAAGGGACGGGCCGCAGAUCUGCUCCCGGAGAAAUGAGGGCGAGGUCAGGUGCUGCAGAUGUUCAGAUGCGGUCAUCCAGCGACUCGGAGCAGGAGACACCAGACCAGGGCCUCUGCUCUCCCUGUAAGAGCCUAAUGUGUGUAAAAGCGGAUCUGUCCGACUCCGGAUUCAACACCAGAUCCUCCCUGAACUCUCCUGCCGUGCCCUCCGCCAGAGACACCCCAUCUCCAGACAGCCCUGCUCUCCAUGCUGCGUUCUCCAAGAGGAAGUUCUUCCCGCCGCCGGGAGACGCGGAUGAUGGGAUGCAGAGGAAGCGGCAGUGCAUCAGUGAUAUGGAGGUGGAGAGCGUGGCUUUCUGAGGUCAGGAUGAACUGACCGCACAUGGACAUCAGAUUCACCGCACGUGUGGCUUGUGAAGGGUUUUCCUGUUCAGUCGUUUGGAAAUAGAGACACUCUAAUAAGAGAAAGAGGUUAAAAACCCAUUUGAGAAGAGUUCUUCAUUCCCGACUACAAUAAAUCAAGACUAAUAAACCUAACCUUAACUCAUGAUUUCUUGAGUAAAAUGCUGAUGACUUUCAUCUCAGUUUUUUCACAAUGACUUUGCCUUUAUGCACAGCGAGCGACCGUCUAUAUAACUGCAGACGGCUGGUGACUAGAGUAAUAUAGAUCUAUAUUUCUGUCAGAAAGCUGAUGUAAUGAAUAAUGUCUGCAGAAAACAGGCCUGUUUCUCUUCUCAUAAAGAUGAGUGCAGUGGAUUUAUUUUAUUUGCAUCCAACGAGAGAAGAACAUUUGAAGAACUCCUGUUACAUGUUGUUAAUGUUUGAUGUUCAUAAAUGGUUUUUCAUUCGAAUGCUGGUUUCAUAACCCUUCUCAAUAUUAUAACCCAGUCUGCAGAAGCAAAACUGAGAGUUGAGUGUAUGCUGCAGUUCUUUAAUAGCACACAGCUCAUCAUGUCUGUUCAUCAUGGGGUGAAAAUAAAGUCUGCAUUUCUCUGGAUUGUGUCACAGCAGAGCUUCAGCUGAACCUAUAAUCACUGUCAGAAUCAGAUCCGCACUAGAUUCUGGAGCUCCUCUGAGGUUCCUGUUGCAGUGCUGGAUCAGGACACGAGGUGGCGCUGGAGGAAGCAUCUUCACAUCUGAGCCGGAACCUGUGCUUGUGUUUUCUUGAAUUCAGUUUAACAGAAGGACUCUGACGAAGCUUUUUUCAGACAUGGUAGAUUUAUUAUUUGAUGUAUGAUUCUACAGGCUCAAAUGAAUUAACAUGCAGAUAUAAAACACAUCCUAAAUGAACUUUAUUGGAAACCACCAAUCAUGCAAUACUUGAACCAACUUCCAUUUUUCCAUCAAAAACACAAUCCCAUCUGUUCCAUUAAAACAUCUGCCUCAGAAACCCCAACACAAUCCACCGUCCAACGUGCGUCUGACUCUCUGAACACAUGACAUGCAAAGCUGUGGUUCACCUACAUACACAGUUCACUACAGUAAGAGGAAUGAUUAGUAAAGCUG